rnacentral:rRNA from 1 species
UGCAGAGGGGGCAAGCGUUGUUCGGAAUUACUGGGCGUAAAGGGCGCGUAGGUGGCCUUCUAAGUCGAACGUGAAAUCCCUGGGCUCAACCCAGGAACUGCGUCCGAGACUGGGAGGCUUGAACGUCGGAGAGGGAUGCGGAAUUCCAGGUGUAGCGGUGAAAUGCGUAGAUAUCUGGAGGAACACCGGUGGCGAAGGCGGCAUCCUGGACCGGGAUUGACACUGAGGCGCGAAAGCCAGGGGAGCAAACGGG